rnacentral:rRNA from 1 species
AGUAAUGUCUGGGAAACUGCCUGAUGGAGGGGGAUAACUGCUGGAAACGGUAGCUAAUACCGCAUAACGUCGCAAGACCAAAGAGGGGGACCUUCGGGCCUCUUGCCAUCGGAUGUGCCCAGAUGGGAUUAGCUAGUAGGUGGGGUAGCGGCUCACCUAGGCGACAAUCCCUAGCUGGUCUGAGAGGAUGACCAGCCACACUGGAACUGAGACACGGUCCAG